rnacentral:rRNA from 1 species
UCCGGUUGAUCCUGCCAGAGGUUACUGCUAUCGAGGUUCGACUAAGCCAUGCGAGUCGAAUGUAGCAAUACAUGGCGUACUGCUCAGUAACACGUGGACAACCUGCCCCUAGGUUGGGUAUAAACCCGGGAAACUGGGUAUAAUCCCCUAUAAGUCUCGGCUGCUGGAAUGCACCGAGAUUAAAAGCUCCGGCGCCUAAGGAUGGGUCUGCGGCCUAUCAGGUAGUAGUGGGUGUAGCGUACCUACUAGCCUACGACGGGUACGGGUUGUGAGAGCAAGAGCCCGGAGAUGGAUUCUGAGACACGAAUCCAGGCCCUACGGGGUGCAGCAGGCGCGAAAACUUUACAAUGCUGGCAACAGCGAUAAGGGAACCUCGAGUGCCAGGUUACAAAUCUGGCUGUCGAGAUGCCUAAAAAGCAUUUCAUAGCAAGGGCCGGGCAAGACCGGUGCCAGCCGCCGCGGGUAACACCGGCGGCUCGAGUGGUAACCGUUAUUAUUGGGUCUAAAGGGUCUGUAGCCGGCCGGAUAAGUCUCUUGAGAAAUCUGGCAGCUUAACUGUCAGGCUUUCAGGAGAUACUGUCUGGCUCGAGGCCGGGAGAGGUGAGAGGUACUUCAGGGGUAGGGGUGAAAUCUUGUAAUCCUUGAAGGACCACCAGUGGCGAAGGCGUCUCACCAGAACGGACCUGACGGCAAGGGACGAAAGCUAGGGGCACGAACCGGAUUAGAUACCCGGGUAGUCCUAGCCGUAAACGAUACUCGCUAGGUGUCGGCCACGGUGCGACCGUUGUCGGUGCCGUAGGGAAGCCGUG